GGAGAGGUGCUAGAGUGGACGAAUAGGCACGACUGGAAAUCGUGUGUGCUUAACGGUACCAUGGGUUCGAAUCCCAUCCUCUCCGCCA
rnacentral:tRNA from 1 species